CCUGAGGGUCGUUGGGACUUUCCCUCUCAGACAUUUAUUGGUUCAUUCAUUCGUUCAUUUUGCUGUAACUCACAGUGGCCCUCCCCAUCCUAAGGUGCACUGCUGGGAUUGGUCUAUGUGCUGAUGAUGUUCUCCUUGUCUUCAGAGGUGAGAAUGUGCCCUCCCUCCGAGAUGCCCUCUUGCCCCUGAGCUCCCCAAAAAUUAGCUGGGCAUGGUGGUGUGCACCUGUAGUCCCAGCUACUCGGGAGGCUGAGGCAGGAGAAUCACUUGAACCCAGGAGGCAGAGGUGGCGGUGAGCUGAGAUUGUGUCAUUGCA
rnacentral:lncRNA from 1 species